GAUGAAGAACGUAGCGAAAUGCGAUACGUAAUGUGAAUUGCAGAAUUCAGUGAAUCAUCGAGUCUUUGAACGCACAUUGCGCCCGCUGGUAUUCCGGCGGGCAUGCCUGUUCGAGCGUCAUUUCAACCCUCAAGCCCCCGGGUUUGGUGUUGGGGAUCGGCUCUGCCCUUCUGGGCGGUGCCGCCCCCGAAAUACAUUGGCGGUCUCGCUGCAGCCUCCAUUGCGUAGUAGCUAACACCUCGCAACUGGAACGCGGCGCGGCCAUGCCGUAAAACCCCAACUUCUGAAUGUUGACCUCGGAUCAGGUAGGAAUACCCGCUGAACUUAAGCAUAUCAAUAAGCGGAGGA
rnacentral:misc_RNA from 1 species